rnacentral:rRNA from 1 species
UACGUAGGCAGCAAGCGUUGUUCGGAGUUACUGGGCGUAAAGGGUGCGUAGGCGGCUGUGCAAGUCUGGCGUGAAAGCCCCGGGCUCAGCCCGGGAAGUGCGCUCGAAACUGCACGGCUCGAGUGCCGGAGGGGAGAGUGGAAUUCCUGGUGUAGCGGUGAAAUGCGUAGAUAUCAGGAGGAAUACCGGUGGCGAAAGCGACUCUCUGGACGGCAACUGACGCUGAGGCACGAAAGCGUGGGGAGCAAACAGG